AGUGAACGCUGGCGGUAGGCCUAACACAUGCAAGUCGAACGGCAGCACAGUAAGAGCUUGCUCUUACGGGUGGCGAGUGGCGGACGGGUGAGGAAUACAUCGGAAUCUACUUUUUCGUGGGGGAUAACGUAGGGAAACUUACGCUAAUACCGCAUACGACCUACGGGUGAAAGCAGGGGAUCUUCGGACCUUUCGCGAUUGCAUGAGCCGAUGCCGGAUUAGCUAGUUGGCGGGGUAAAGGCCCACCAAGGCGACGAUCCGUAGCUGGUCUGAGAGGAUGAUCAGCCAAACUGGAAUUGAGACACGGUCCAGACUCCAACGGGGGGCGGCAUAGGGGAAUAUUGGCCAAUGAGCGAAAGCCUGAUCCAGCCAUCCCGCGUGGGUGAAGAAGGCUUUCGAGUUGAAAAGCCCUUUUGUAGGGAAAGAAAAGCGGCAGGUUAAUACCCCCCUGUUCUGACGGUACCCAAAGAGUAAGCACCGGCUAACUUCGUG
rnacentral:rRNA from 1 species